rnacentral:rRNA from 1 species
UACGACUACAUAUCAGGCAUAUCAAUAAGCGGAGGAAAAGAAACUAACUAGGAUUCCCUCAGUAACGGCGAGUGAAGCGGGAAGAGCUCAAAUUUGAAAUCUUCAAGGUUUUACCUUGACGAAUUGUAGUUUAAAGAAGUGUUUUCUGUUGGAGUUUUGGUAAAAGUUCUUUGGAAUAGGACAUCAUAGAGGGUGAGAAUCCCGUAUUUGACCAUUACUUUCCAGCUUUGUGAUACACCUUCAAAGAGUCGGAUUGUUUGGGAAUGCAGUCCAAGAUGGGUGGUAAAUUUCAUCUAAAGCUAAAUAUUGGCGAGAGACCGAUAGCGAACAAGUACCGUGAGGGAAAGAUGAAAAGAACUUUGAAAAGAGAGUUAAACAGUACGUGAAAUUGUCAAAAGGGAAGCGUUUGACACCAGUGUUGUUUCUACGAAAAAUCAAUUUAUGAUGGCUUGAUGCUAAGCUUUAAGACUUUAUCCGCUUGUUGUUUAGUUUUCUUGUCUUUGUGAAUGCACUUUUCGUGGAACAAGUCAACAUCAAUUUCUUUUGCUGUAAAAGGGUAAGAGGAAGGUGGCUUCGGCUUCGGUUGAAGUGUUUAUAGCCUUUUAUCUCUGCAGUCGGAGAGAUUGAGGUCUGCAGCGUAGACUCUUCGGGGUUAGAUACGUCGGUGCUAAGCUAUAGCUUUUCAUAGACAACUUGUUGACUAUGUUUAGUCAUGUGGCAUACCCGCUGGCGCUAUUUUACCUACGCUUAGGAUGUUGACUGAUAUGUAGUCGUA